CAAACCCAGGGAUCUCAGCUACUCCUCAUAAACCUUCCCUCCAGACCUUUCACCAUCUUUAUAGCCCUUCUUUGGAUGCUCUCUAAUAGUUUUGUGUCCUUAUAUUGUGGCGCUGAAUGCUUUAGCCAGGUUUUGCCUGCUGAUUUUAAUUCCAUGUGAAUAAAAACUGGGAAUUUGGGAUUUAGCCUAUUACUAGCUUAACAACAACAAUAAUAACUCUAACGUGUAGUUAUAAGUAAUAGGAACAGAGUGACAGCAGUCAUUAGUUAUAGGUAAUUAGUUAUCAGCAAUGGAAAGAGAGUGGUAGCAGCAGGCUGCGGCUGGCUGCUCGGCAGACACUUUGGUGGGAGAACCACCGCGACUCCCCUUGGCAGGUGUAAGCCAUAGAACUGCAAAAUGAGUAACUUCUUAUUUUUGGCAUUAUAGAGGCUUUGUUUUCUCAUUCAUCCUUGGUCUGUCAGUAAGGUUCAAAUUUCUCCCUGGGAUGGGGUUAAAUCCAGAAGGAACCAGGAAUGUCCCCAUGGUCUUUCCUGCCCUGGUACCAUCAAAGGCCCAUUGGUGGGUGGGUGAUCACAAGGCACCAAAAGAUCACCCAAAGUCAACAAAACAGCCCAGAGGUAUGAGGCAAGCAGACAGACUAAAAGCUCUUUCCCCCACAGAAAAGCCAUUCUGUGCUACCAAAAGACAAGAUGAAAUAAAAGAGCCUGAAUUUAACACAACACACGCAUGCGCUUUAUGAAUGAAUUCAACUUAAAGGUCACUGGGGUGAUAAGCAGUGCAGUAAAGUGUACAAUAGAAGUCAUUUUAAGCUGUGAUUCCUAACAGCUUCUUGUUUGGAGAAAACACAGUUUCAACCCUAUUUUUUGCACCUGUGUGCUAGUUACCUGAUUAGCCCAGAACUUAACAUGUGCUCAGUCUGUUCCUUUCUCUUUUAGUAGGUGGUGGUGCUUGUGUGUGCUGCUUGGGUCAAAGCUGUGUGAUGGGCUUCAGUUUCUACUUGCUGUAAAUGCUGACGCACCUUGAUAGCAUUCUUGUUACUGUUUCCAUUGCUCUGCUUCCAGAAAUCAUUCUACCUAUGAACAUCUUCAUCAAUUUUUUCCUAAUCGUUUGAUAUUUUUCUUCAUCUGUGAAGUGAUAAGUGUAGCUGGCCUUUAUGUAAACCUGUAAAAGCUUCUGAGAGAUACUUUUUCAGGUUUGGAUUCCCAUGCCACGUGUUUCCUAAGGGUUUUUCUCCUAAGUAAUUCCCAUUGCACUGAGUGGAGUUACUGCCUCCUCCAUCUGAACCUGCUCUCAGCUUCUGAUAAACCCAGCAACUCGUUGUCCAGCUUCCUGUUCCUGAUAUGCAGAACACAUGUCAGAACAACUGGCCUAAUGAGAGAUGAAAAAUGGACAUGGCCAGGUCUGGUUCUGGAAACUGCAACACUUAGUGAGGCAUCAAAUAACAUCUACAGGAAUGUCCAGCUGAAGAGCAAAAGUUCCUUGAUGAGUCAAGACUGCGGGAUGCCUCACUGUUCAAAUGCCUUUUGUUGCUCCCUCAGGGUACCAUUGGCAUUACACACUCCCAGGGCAAACAGUAUUUGGAAACAGCAAAAGUUUUCUGAAUUCAGCACUGUUGCUUAAGAGUUGCUGUGGGCUGAACGAGGUGAGCUGUCUAAUAGGAAAAGGCAAGAACAGACUGAAUGAACAGGACAUUAAUAUUUUGACACCCUGUUAUGGGGUUCAGAUUUCAGUUUUACUAUUGUCUGCAUGUCUUGAAGAAUGGGAGAAACAGUUGUCUGCUUUUCUAUUACACCCCCUGAAGUCAAGUGGAGAUAUGGAUUCUCAGAAUCUCUUAAAAUGGGGCCUAAGUAGUCAUCUAAGAAGGGAAAAAAAAAAAAAAGCCACAGAGCAUUAUUUAUUCAGUGCAACACAAACCUUUUUUUUAAAAGACAUGAUCAUGCCUCAUAAUAAGCAAACAAUAUAUAGAGAGGCACCUAUAUAGAAAGCCCAGUUCAGUUAACUGUAGGCAGGUCCCAAGAGAUCUAAUGGAGACACGUUUUAACUAAAGUAAAUGAAAUCCUUUCUGAGCAAACAAGGAAGUGCAGUUGGGUUCAUAUCCAUUAAAUAAUUGAAGCAUUUGGCUCACAGGGUCAUAUUUACACACCAAAAUUAAACACUUAUGAGCACUAUUUGGUAGAGAGUUUCUUUACUCAGAAAGGAGCUCUUGGGAAUCACAGGUCAGACUGAGAAUAUGCCACAAGGCAGCUAUUUCUCCAAACUUGCCACUUUGCUAAUUGUAUCUAUACAAAGUCAGGAGUUUCCCACCUAAACUGUGGUGCAGCAAUCUGUUCCCAUCUGUCUUUUUUUUUCUUUGGCAGAUAUUGGGUUGGGCACUUGCCUGAGAAAUAGGGUGGCCUUAUUUUUUAUUUACUACCACAAUGUAAGAGUUGAAAAAUACAUCUAUUACAUCUAGCUAGAAGAGCUAGAUGUGCAUCAUUCUUUUACAACUGAAUAUUUUUUAAUAGAAAAAUAUGUAAGACUCAUUAAUUCCAAAGGGACUGUAAGCAGAGGGAUCAUAACUUCCCAGAUGUGUGAGGAAUGCAAUCCCUUGGAGCUGCUAUAUCAGUAACAAGAAUAUUCACAAUUAUAGCACCUUUGGCUAGGAUAAGCAUUAUGUAUUGGAGCUUGGAUCACUCUUCAGUUAUGAAAGAGGGAGUUUAUACUGUGGUCCAAAAGCACCAUUACAGAAAACACAAUGCUGACUUGCUGUCUACUGAACUAAGUCCAGUAUCAUAGUUUAACUGUAGCAGCAUUUAAGCUCAUCCCAAGAUUUGAGCAUGUUUUGCUGAAAUCAGUGUUGCUGUGAGCUAGGAGGUGUAGUUAUUUCUCAUUUUACCUGCUCUUGAGCUCUUAAAAAAUCUUGAAUAUUCCAGUAUUAAUAGCCCCUAGGUAUGUGGUGCUCAACUUUGUCCAUUUUGUGUCUGACCUACUCUGUUCAUAGAGUUUUCCUUUGAGGGAAGCUGGCCAUGAAUGGUUACGUUGAGUUACACCUUCUGCAAAUCAGAAGUAAACAAGAGGCUGGAUUUAUGCAUUUGCCCUGUCCAAUUUUGAAUCUAUCUAUCAGCUUCAUGGCCAAUUUGAAACAAUGACUAAACAAAGAAAAAAACAAACCGCCAUAAACUUGAACUCUUGUUGUCUUGCCACUGUCUAAUUGAGGGUUGACAAGAAAAUUUAGUGCUACAUCUGUGGCAGUGUUAAACUGCAUUUAUUAAGAAAGAAAUUUUACCGCAAUGUGUAUGCUUUCUCUUGUUCAUUUUCACGCUGAGCUAUAAAGUUUCACUACAGCAUUCUUUUCCAGGUUGCUGCUGUACUCUCAUCAUUAAUCAUUGAGUGAAAUUUUGCUUCUGCUGUGUCUUCCAUACUGUUUUCAAAUUCUUGUUUUUAUUUCCCAAGCACUGCUUUCAUCUUGCCUUGAAUCGUUCACUAUUUUUUCAGUUAAUCCACUCUAGUGGAGUGGCAAACAAGGCUGUCCCCAAAGACAUGCCUGCUGCUGAUUGCAAGCAUUUUUUUUAGUAUUGUAAUUGCACCAGAUGACAUUGUGAAAUGAAUCUCAUCCUGUAAUACAGACUGUGAGCGAUAUGGAAAGCAAUCAUAAGAAAGUCUCUAUUGUAUACAGGUCUAACCUAUGUUAAAUUAAUUGAAAUCAGUUUCUGUGGGAUCAAACCUGAAAUUAUCACCUUCAACAAAACCUGGCAUGCUAUUUGUAUAGUUACUGUUCAUUAGAAUAUAACUUGUGAAUCAACACAAAAAAAGAAAUGUGUCACGCACCACUUAUUUUAGAAGAUCCCAUGGUUCUCAUUUGCCCUUGCUCUUGUUCUGUCCCUUGUUGUCACAUUUAAAAGAUUCUAGAAUUCCAGCUAUAGGAGAAGCAAAGGCCUCUACUACUGGUACAAGUGUCCUAGAAGUCAGACACACAAAUUCUUCUGGAAAAGAUACCACCCAG